rnacentral:sRNA from 1 species
CCAAUGAGAGUCGGAGACAGAGGCAAAGAAGCCACAUACCACAAACGACUUCAAAGUGUGUCAAUGACACU